AUGGUGGCUGUCAAAAUGCUAAAAGAUCUUGGACAGGGUGAGAAGCAGUUCCGAGCAGAAGUGCAGACCAUUGGAAUGCUUCAACACAUCAAUCUUGUUCGUUUGUUUGGGUUCUGUGCUGAGGGAAGUAAAAGAUUGCUGGUAUACGAGUACAUGGAGAAUGGAUCUUUGAGUUCUCAUCUGUUUUCGAAGAGUUCUGUAAAAUUAAUCUGGGAGCUCCGGUACAGUAUAGCACUUGGAACUGCAAGAGGCUUGGCUUAUCUGCAUGAGGAAUGCAAGGAUUGCAUCAUACACUGCGAUAUAAAGCCAGAUAAUGUACUCCUUGAUGCAGAUUUGUGUCCUAAGGUUGCAGACUUUGGUAUGGCGAAGCUUCUUUGCCGAGAUUUUAGCAGGGCACUGACAACAAUGCGGGGGGCCAUCGGAUAUCUUGCGCUGGAGUGGAUCUCAGGGCUUCCGAUCACACAUAAGUCUGACGUUUACAUCUACGGAAUGAUGCUUCUUGAAAUCAUUUCGGGGCGAAGGAAUGUGGAGAAAAUCAAGGAAGGGAAGUUCACUUACUUUCCCAUCUUUGCGGCAGUCAAGGUGAAUGAAGGAGAUGUUAUGUGCCUUACUGGAUAUAGGUUGGAAGGCGACGCAGAUGUGGAGCAGCUGAGCAGAGCUUGCAGAAUCGCAUGCUGGUGCAUUCAAGAUGCUGAGGAUCAUAGGCCAAUGAUGGGGCAUGUUGUUCGCAUGCUAGAGGGUGUCAUGGAUGUUGAAGUACCUCCUAUUCCGAGGUCGCUGCUGAAUUUUGUGGUUUCUGAACUGCAAUUUGUUACUCCCUCCGUCCGGAAAAACUUGUCAUCAAAAUGGACAAAAAAGUAG
rnacentral:rRNA from 1 species